GGUGGUUAUUGCCUAGGUGGAGUUGCUGCUUCCUGCAUGGCCUGUGUCACGUAACCCUCAGAGUUCUGGACUGCCUCACGACGUCCUUCAGAAGACACACUGAAGUUGGACCUUUCCUGGUGCCAGUUUCAAAUUCCCUGCAGAAAAGCCCAUGGGCUGGGCUUGGGCCAAGAGCGCCAUCGGCUGUGACCUGGGCCCAGGAAGUUGUUAUGUCGAUAUGGUGACCAAGCCCUCCGAUGCUGACCACGGGGAGGGGCAACGGUGGGCAAAGAGAAGAGCCAGAGGAAAAGGAAGCAAGGACUCAGUGACCAACUCAUUAACUAUCUCGACAAGCCCAAAGCGGGGGAGAUAACCAUCUCAUAGUCAAUCCUACCUCCUCUGGUCUUUUGAACUAUCCAUUUAUGUAGUCACUAAUUUGCUCACUUAUUUAUAUCCAUUCAGUCAUGCAUUUGGCAUUAAUUUGACAUUUAUUGAAUAUAUAUUCUAUAUUAGAAAGUAUUUGGGCCUGAAAAUGAAGGGAAAGAUGAAUAAGGUUUAGUCACUGCCCUUAAUAAGUUUGCGAUUUGGGAAUGAAGGAAACCAUCUAAAACACAAGGUGAAAAAAGCUUUGCAGGAAGUGAGUAAAAGUGCAGGUCCACAGAGGACUCCAACAGGCCAGGCGGCUCCAAGGUGAUCCUCACCUCUGGACCUCACACUCCUGCAUGGCCUCUUCUGUACUGUACCUGGUUUGGUCAGCGUGGCUAGUAGAAUAAGAUGAAGUUAUGACAUGAAACUUCUGCAAUGCUAUGAAGGACUAUGGCUUCCACUUUGGGUGUGCUUUCUGUCACUUGGAUUCCCCACACUGGAGGAGCCAAGAACAGACUGAAUGGGAAAGGCACACAUGGUGAGAACUGAAGCCUUUUGCCAACAGUGAAGCAGCUUGGAGACACUUCACUCAGCCCCAGUCAAGCCUUCAGAUGAGACUGCGGCCCUGGCCACUGCUUGACUGUAACCUCAUGAGUGAGUCUAGGCCAGAACCGCUCAGCUCAGUCACUCUUUACAAACAGUAGUGAGAGAUAAUAAAUAUGUGUUGUUUAAGCUGCAAA